UACGUAGGGUGCAAGCGUUGUCCGGAAUUAUUGGGCGUAAAGAGCUCGUAGGCGGCUUGUCACGUCGGAUGUGAAAACCCGAGGCUCAACCUCGGGCCUGCAUUCGAUACGGGCUAGCUAGAGUACUGCAGGGGAGACUGGAAUUCCUGGUGUAGCGGUGAAAUGCGCAGAUAUCAGGAGGAACACCGGUGGCGAAGGCGGGUCUCUGGGCAGUAACUGACGCUGAGGAGCGAAAGCGUGGGGAGCGAACAGG
rnacentral:rRNA from 1 species